GUCGGGCUGAAAUGAUGGUAAAAACGUUUCGUUAAAGGCGGGUAUCAAAAUUGUGCUGGUUACCGUCUGCGGAAAAGUCUUAUUACUCGAUAUGUCCGUUAAUUCCAGCCAGGACAAAGCAUAAGAAGACGCUGUGCUGAAGUUGGUCUGCCAGAAACAUGACUGAAACUCUCUCGCUGAGUCUGAAUUUGCAUGCGCGACUGUUCCACUGACUUUGAGACGAAGUGGCUGAAGAUCAAGUUCAAGGUCAUGUUGUUUUAAUGUCUUGUGUCUUUAAGAUUACACAAGACUCAGGAGUCGUAUAGUGUGGGUGGAUGGUCUUGUGGUUGGGUCUCUGUCUUUGACAGGAAAUUUAAUCAAGAUAGGUUAAUAUGAGUUGGCAAGAAUACACAUCAAAGGUUUUGUUUUUGAAAACAGAUACAAGUAUAGAAGGCACUGCAGCCUUUCUAGCAGUCUUGGUUUGUGAGUGAGUGUGUAUGUGUGUGUGUUUAAAUCAGUCUGUGUGUUUAGUACAUGUGCUGUAUUCCUGACCCCUGAUCACACAAAGUAUUUUAAUCCAAUCAGCUUUGUUUUCACAUGACUGUCACACACUCGCUGCUGCUAUGGUAACCUGCAGAGGAAGGAGAGAAAGGGCUGGACGGAGAAAGGGAGCCACCAAAAGCGUACAUAGACAAUCAGCAUGAUGAAAAAGACACCACCAGCUGCCAGCUUGGCAUAGGUGGAGCGGGUAUUCAGAUACUUGGCGUCGCU